AGAAGCCAAUCAGCGGCACCGCGGUUCCGGGGUAUCAAGUAUCAGCACCCGCUGCCUGAGGCUGACAUUUCUCCCCAGACCCCGAGGAUGCGGGUCGUGAUGCCCCCAACUUUGCUCCUGCAGCUGUCGGGGGCCUUGGCCGUGACCCAGACCUGGGCGGGCUCCCACUCCCUGAGGUAUUUCCACACCGCGAUGUCCCGGCCCGGCCGCGGGGAGCUCCGCUUCAUCUCCGUGGGCUAUUUGGACGACACGCAGUUUGUGCGGUUCGACACCGACGCCCCGAAUCCGAGGUCUGAGCCGCGGGAGCGGUGGAUCGAGCAGGUGGGGUCCGAGUAUUGGGACCAGGAGACGCGGAACGCGAAGGACAACGCACAGAAAUUUCGAGUGAGCCUGCAGAACAUGCGGGGCUACUACAACCAGAGCGAUUCCGGUUUCACCUUAAUCACUGCUGCUCUGGGGGCGGGGACAGGAUCACACAACAUCCAGUGGAUGUAUGGCUGUGACAUCGGACCCAACAGCCGCCUCCUCCGCGGGUACAGUCAGGUGUCCUAUGACGGCAAGGAUUACAUCGCCCUGAACGAGGACCUGGGCUCCUGGACCGCAGCGGACACCGCGGCGCAGAUCACACGCCACACGUGGGAGGAGGCCUGUGUGGCCGAAGACAUCAGGAACUACUUGGAGGGCACGUGCGUGGAGUGGCUCACCAAAUACCUGGACAUGGGGAACGAGACGCUGCUGCGCGCAGAGUCUCCCAACACACGCGUGACCCGCCACCCCAUCUCUGACCGUGAGGUGACCCUGAGGUGCUGGGCCCUGGGCUUCUACCCUGUGGAGAUCACCCUGACCUGGCAGCGUGAUGGGCAGGACCACACCCAGGACGCAGAGCUUGUGGAGACCAGGCCUGCAGGAGAUGGAACCUUCCAGAAGUGGGCGGCUGUGGUGGUGCCUUCUGGAGAGGAGCAGAGAUACACGUGCCAUGUGCAGCACGAGGGGCUGCCCGAGCCCAUCACCCUGAGAUGGGAGCCAUCCUCUCUGCCCUCCAUCCCCAUCCUGGGCAUCAUUGCUGGUGUGGCUGUCCUUGUGGUCACUGUGGUGGUUGGAGCUGUGAUCUGGAGGAAGAAGUUCUCAGGAGGAAAAGGACCAAGCUACUCUCAUGCUGCAUGCGAUGACAGUACCCAGGGCUCUGAUUCAUCUCUAAUGGCUCCUAAAGUGUGAGACCCACUGCCCCUCAGGGACUGAGCGAUACAGGAUCUGUUCACACUCCACUUGGUGCCAUCGAGAUCCCCCUGACUUCCUGCAGGAGCUGCCACGGACCGGCUGUGCCUGAGGCUCAUCCAGAAGACAGAGGUCCUCUCCACUGACCAAUCGUUCCACUGAUAAUGUCGUGUGCCACGUACAGGACCUGCUAUUUUUUUCAUCUAGGACACCUCACCAAGGCUACAGAACAGUCCUGAGGCCAACAGCCAGGAGGAAAAUCCAUAGACCCACCCUAGGUCAAGGCCCAAAUAGGAACCACUGUCCGUGGUGCUGGUCACAGAUGCCACUGUUCACACCACUGGUCCAUGAGGCAAGGACUGCUAUGGCUACUGCUCCUGGCAGGUGGAUGACAAGACUGCCACUCACAUCGCCUGUGCCAAAUGCAUCAGCACUGUCCCAGCUUCCCUGUCUCCACAUCCUGAGUCAGAGUCUGACCUCAACCUGCACAGCCACUGCCAUCAGAUGGCAUGAGGAGGAGGAAAAAGGUCACCAGCAGUGAUGGUCAUCAUGGCUGGAAGGACAGGUGAACUCUGUAAACAGGACAAGAAGAAAAGGGAAGAAACAACGUCUCCCAAAGCAUUGUGGACAGCCCACCUCACAGUCCAGAUGCACACACCGUGGACUCCGUACAGCCCAGGUAUGACCCUCUCUCCCACCAUCUGCAGCAAACCAACUCCAUCAGCCAAUGUAGAACCAACUCUUCUGUCACUUCAAACCCCAUGGACUUACUUAUAGGGACUGUGAGAAAUGCAUACUCUUCACAAGACUCAGUGCUGGAGGAGGAGAAGCUGUCAGAGCCAUAGAAUGAGGUGACUCUUAAUGCAGCAGGUGAACAGUGUCCAGGAAUGAAAAACAAAACAAAACAAAACAAACACACAAACAAAAAACGGUGGGCUCUUGGGCUCAGGAGUCUGACUGCUUUUUAGAAUCAUGGCUCAGCCAAAUUGAGUCAUGUAACUUCUGAGUGAUCUUGAUUUCCUUGCCUAUAAAUUGGAAUUGAUAGCUUUCCCUAUCUCAUGGGACUAUUAUGAGGUUGAAAUGAAUCAAUUCAUGCAAAUCCCUUAAACCAGAACUCUGGGGAGGAAGAGAGUCCCACCAAUGUAGCUCCUGUUUUCUUCCUCCUACAUGACAAGUACCAGUUCUCCCUGUCACUCAUCAGCCUGAGCCCCUCUCACUUCCUGCAGAUGAAGAGCUGUUCCGUCACAUAUAUCCCAUGGGGUGGUGGUGAGGCAACCAUGAAAUGGCCAGUGUGGAGGUACAGUUGAGGAAUCCUCAGAGCAGUGGGUGCCCUCUCUCUCUCUUUCUCUCUCUCUCUCUCUCUCUCUCUCUCUUUCUCUCUCUCUCCCAUAUGUAUGUUCAAUUAUACACAUCUAUACAAACCUCCAUACACAAAUACCCAUACACACUUCUAUGGGAUUGUGAACCCACCCAGACAGACAGACACACAUACACAUAACACACUCCCUUCACAUUUGCCAUUUCACCCAGGGAAUGGCUCACUCCCACUUCAUCAUUUUAAAAAUUUUAGUAUCUUGAGGGAGAAACACCAGAGAAUAUUUGUCUCACUAGAAAGAAUCCCACUCCCUAGGGACUCUAGUACUUUCUGGUACUCAGCAUGCCUGCUCCUGGAGCUCUCCUGAGUGGGAGAUGUGACCUUAGAUUGAGAUUCUGGAAUCCAGCGGCAGCCAUGUGCACUGCCCACCUGGUAUUGGGACUCUGGGCGUCCAGCAGAUCUUCAGCCUCUCACCUUCUUCUGACUGCUCUCCCACCCUGGUUGUCCCCCACCCUGCUCCUCUCAAGAAGACAGCACAAUGGCCAAGCACUUCUGGAUGGUUCCAUCCUCUUCUGCCUGGUCUCCACAAGCUUCUUGUCCUGGGUCUGGUGCUCCCUGGCACACUGCUAGGUCAGGGUGAUAUGUACGGGGCGGAAGCCCAGGGCACACCAGACAUCAGGGUGACCUGGCAGUCAGAGAGGGGGUGGUGGGUCACAUGUGUUCUGGUAGGGUCUGUGGUAGAUAAAACAGGGAGGGCUAAGGCAAAGCCUUCUAAAGCAUCUACUACAAACCAUGAUGCCUACUGGCCUCCCAUCUGUGCCAGGAUAGCGGGCAAUGAUGAGACGACCACAGAUGGCAGAGGUCCAUGUCCAAACUCAGGUGGUUGUCAUUGUCCUAGCCAUCCUGCCACCGCCCACGGUCCUGUGUCCUCCUGGAGCCCCAAGUCACAGUGAACUGCAGGGUUGGGGGCCUGCCCAAUCCUCUCCAGGACUAGGCAGUGUCAGUCAGGGCAGAGCAUGCCGGCAGAGACCCUCCAGCCCUUAUCCCUGCACCACCCCACUGGGCUGCUCUGCAGGGAACAUUCACCCUGUAGACUAUGAUCUUGUGAUAUAAAAGAAGGAUAUAUGUUGGUCCUCCAACAGUUCCUGCACACAGCUCGUAAAAUGUUUGUCAUUUCCUACAUGAUGAGAAUCAUAGGAGCAUCUCUUUUUAGAUUUGUUCCCACUUCCUGAGAAAGCUUUACAAAAGAUCCUGGUCCAUUACUUGCACACAGUACCAAACUUCACUGCACAAUGUCUCUCUCCUCCUGUGCUGUGAGCCCUUAGAAGGCAGGACUCUCGGUGCCUGUAACCAAACCAUCUGGCAAACUGUUGAAUUCAAGCUUCUGUAUGGAUCUCGUGGUAAAAUCUGAGCAGCCUCUGUCUUCAGCUUUAGUUGAGCCUCUCGCUGAUUUAAGCCGUGAAUCCACAUGCAAAUCUCUUCCCUGUUUCAUAUGCUAAGUUCUCAUGACAUUUACUAGAAAUUAUUAAACUAUAACCUAUGCCUUGAAAUCACUCUGUCCACUUUCACCCCACACCUUGCCCACCCUAACCUCUCCCUGCUUGGAACCCCACCCCUCUCCCAUGAACCCAAAUCAUACACACACACACACACACACACACACAUCAGACUCUACACAAAGUUCCACCUCAUUCAUGACACUUUCCCUUCUCACUGGGGUGUCUGGCCUAUCGACUCUGUGACCAUUUCUCUACUUUUCAUUUGACAUCUAAGGAGGUACCUGUCUUCAGGAUCUCUCAGUGUGCCACACAAGCUCAAUAACGUGACCACAGAAGUAUGGUUGCUUCCCCAUCUUAAUUGUAAGCUCUAUGAGGUCAAACAGUAGGUCAUCCUUUCUGGUGCCCAACCUACAGUGACCUAAAGAAGUGUCCCUGACCCACUGAGUCGGCUUAGUCAGUUAGCUAAUUAAUGAUACAAAGACCUUGCCCCUCUGACCAGACUGUAGCCACCUUCACUCUCCAGUGACAGCUUGUGCACCCCUGCCUGCCCCAGCUGCCACUAGGGGAAUUCCUGACGAGAAGGUCUCAGGUCCCUGGGGGUUGGGCUGAUGUCAUCUGCACAGCGACUUCUGCUUUCUUCCAGGCACCAACCUGCCUGCUUUCGUGGGUGCUCUUUGUUCAGACUAUGCUCCGUGGUUUGGUUGUAGUAUCGCUGCACAUUUCUCAGAUUUAAGUGCUUACUCUUCCUCUGGCCUGUGAAGAACUUGGUCUUGUCAUCAAAAUUCCUUGGCUCCUCCAUCAACUCCUGGACUCAAGACUUUGUCUUCAUCUUCUCACUGUCAUGGCAGAUGAAGGGUUGGUCACCCAUGGAGCCCAAGGCACUAAAUGCAGGGACUCCUGGAGGUGACUGAGACACAGCUGAGGAGAAACACUGCACACAGUGCAUUCCUGAAGCAGGAACCAGUGCGUUCAGAGGAAGCUCCAGUACUUACUGAGGACCUAGUUAUCCAUGUGUGGGGAAGGGUUGUGAGCGUGUGUGCGUGUGUGUUGUGUAAUAGGACAGUAGGGCACACAACAUAAAAGAAUAAGAAGGCAAUUACACAACACUCUUCCCUGACCCCCUCUCCUCACACAAGUGAUUGUGAUAUUCAAAUCUCACACCCAUCGUGCACUGGUAUAAUUUAGAGAACUAAAAAGGAAAUCUUCCUCUAUAUCUGAAAAGUGCCAUGAAGAACCUGAUCUUGAGCAGGGCUUGAAGACGUGGAGGCAUCAGGAGGAGUGGGGGACAGUUAGAAAUGUUCUCAUGGCUCAGAGUGAGGUGUGAGGAGCCUGGAAUGGGACCUCCCCAGGUCCCCCGUGUGAUCUUGUUGCAUCUCAACCCCUGCUAGUUGCACCGUUCUCCUGACCAAGGUCCCCUUCCUUCACAUCACCCUCCCUGUCACUGUGGAAAAGGCACUGGCCUCAGAGUCAGGGGCUUCCAGCCUCCCCACACCCUUUAUUUCCUCGGGAAACCACUCCCCUCUGUGGCCUCAGCUUCUUUACCUCUAGAACAAAGCCAUGAGGCUGGAAGGCCCAGGGCCUCCCAGCUCUGCUAUGGGACAAUUGUAAGGCCCUGGAAGUCACCCAGGAUCCAGGUGAUGAGUGUGAAGGAGAAGGUACAGGUGGAGGGAAGGAUGCCCCAAGAGAAGGCACAGCCUUCAGCUCUUCUUGUCCCAGAGUCCCUGCUCCUGUUCUGUCCCCAGUCUAGUCUAUCCCACCCCAGGAUCUUUGAUCCCUCCUUCUUCCUUCAUGAGGCACAUUCUCCCCACCUCCCUGCCACAACCUUUGGUCUGGCCUCCCUCUGUCUGCUGUCAUGUUACUUCCUCAGGGACAGUUUGCCCCCCUACCCCCGCUGCACCCCAGGGAAGGUGAGUAGCUCCUGCUCACAUGCAGCCUUGGCCAGUGAGCAUCACGUGAUUGCAUGUUCACCACCUGCCACUGUACUUUCCAUGACAACGGUGAGUUUUCUUUUUUGUAGGUCCCUAUCCUUCGUGCCCCUCACAGUACUGUGUUAGUCAGGGUGCUCAGAGAAACAGACACAGUUAGAUAAGUGCAUCAAGGGAGAGGUGGGUGCAUUUUAAGGAAGCAGCUCAUGGGACUGGGGUGGGGCCGGAGGUCCAAAACGUGCAGGGCAGGCGGGCCAGCUCGGUGUGCGAGCAGAGCUGAUGUGGCAGAAGUGAUCCAAAGGCAGUUUGGACAAUGAUCUGGGUUGUAUUUCUUCCCUCUGAGAUUAGGAGAGUCUUCAACUUAUUACCCUCAUGUUGCACAACUUUUCCUUUGUUUUCAGUGUCAGUCUGCCGCAAUUGUUGUGGAAAUAAUAGAUACAGAUUCAAGACUAUAAAUAAAAUACUAAGAAUACACAGUAAGAAUGAAGUGACAAAGUUUCAACACCUUUUAACUUUGCUUUGAAAUAUACUAGCCAUGACUCUUCCGGGUCUGAGAGGGAACAGGGAGCCAUAACACUAGCAAUGAAUCACAACCUGCCCUGUCACAGAGCAUCUAAUACUGUACAAACCUUAUAAGGAGUGGGAAUGGCUUCCACAUUGUGUAAGAUCUAGUUCAAAGGAAACACUAUAUUGCAUAACAAAACCUUUAAAAAAUCCCUGCUUUUUUUUUCAAAACUCACUGGUGUCUUACUCUUGCUAACCAUGUAAAUAUUACACGCAAAUCAUGCUCCAAAGCUGUGUGAAUAUGGACCUGCUAAGCACAUGCUGUCAGUGCUCAGAAUGCAAUGAACAAUUAGCAAUAAUUAAGAAGAACAAUGUGAAGAACAUUAUAAAUUACCUUCACACAGCAAGUCAUUGGAUUAGUUAAACUUUGUAUAGUAACCCUUAUAAGGCUGAUAAGAGCAACCAACAUGGGAAAAGUGCCAUCAGAAGUCACACUAUCUACUGUGCAGUGAAGCAGAGCAUUUUACAUGGUGAACGAAGACUGUCACCGGACUGUGAGCAGCACAUAUCCCUGUGGUCCCUGUCACUGUGCUGCUGGCUGCAAACCGUGUGUCUGCCAGAAUAAGACAAGUAUUUGGACAACUUAUAAAUCAAGCAAAAAAUCAUUAUCAGUGUCGUUUCAACUAUGUCAUGAGAAUGUGUUUUCAUCACUUAAAUACUAAUUGAAGACAUGUAACAAGGAGGGUUUUGUUGAUCUGAGAAUCCAGGGCAUCAAAGGUAGUCAUCGGUGCUCAAACAAGAUGUGACAGGGUUACACGUGUACCCAUGGUGCCAGUGUGGUCACAAAGUUCAGGGUCUCACACAAAGUUUUAGAGAAAUUUCUGGAUAUCCUAAUUUGGUACUGUAUAAGUCACUGUAUUUAGUGAUUUCAGGAUGAUACAGUGAAAUGUGAAUUCAAAUAAAUCACUUUAAAUAUUUA